rnacentral:rRNA from 1 species
UACGAAGGGGGCUAGCGUUGUUCGGAAUCACUGGGCAUAAAGCGCACGCAGGCGGAUCGUUAAGUCAGGGGUGAAAUCCCGAGGCUCAACCUCGGAACUGCCUUUGAUACUGGCGAUCUUUGAGUCCGGGAGAGGUGAGUGGAACUCCGAGUGUAGAGGUGAAAUUCGUAGAUAUUCGGAAGAACACCAGUGGCGAAGGCGGCUCACUGGCCCGGUACUGACGCUCAGGUGCGAAAGCGUGGGGAGCAAACAGG